rnacentral:rRNA from 1 species
UACGAUGGGGGCUAGCGUUGCUCGGAAUCACUGGGCGUAAAGGGUGCGUAGGCGGGUCUUUAAGUCAGGGGUGAAAUCCUGGAGCUCAACUCCAGAACUGCCUUUGAUACUGAAGGUCUUGAGUUCGGGAGAGGUGAGUGGAACUGCGAGUGUAGAGGUGAAAUUCGUAGAUAUUCGCAAGAACACCAGUGGCGAAGGCGGCUCACUGGCCCGAUACUGACGCUGAGGCACGAAAGCGUGGGGAGCAAACAGG